rnacentral:rRNA from 1 species
AUUGAACGCUGGCGGCAUGCCUUACACAUGCAAGUCGAACGGCAGCACGGGAGCAAUCCUGGUGGCGAGUGGCGAACGGGUGAGUAAUAUAUCGGAACGUGCCCAGUAGUGGGGGAUAACUGCUCGAAAGAGCAGCUAAUACCGCAUACGACCUGAGGGUGAAAGGGGGGGAUCGCAAGACCUCUCGCUAUUGGAGCGGCCGAUAUCAGAUUAGCUAGUUGGUGGGGUAAAGGCCUACCAAGGGAACGAUCUGUAGUUGGUCUGAGAGGACGACCAGCCACACUGGGACUGAGAAACGGCCCAGACUCCUACGGGAGGCAGCAGUGGGGAAUUUUGGACAAUGGGCGCAAGCCUGAUCCAGCAAUGCCGCGUGCAGGAAGAAGGCCUUCGGGUUGUAAACUGCUUUUGUCAGGGAAGAAAUCCUCUAGGUUAAUACCCUUGGGGGGAUGACGGUACCUGAAGAAUAAGCACCGGCUAACUACGUGCCAGCCGCCGCCGUAAGAC